UGGAGAGAUGACUCCAAUUAUGUCCC
rnacentral:piRNA from 1 species